AUGCAAAACAUGCAAAAACCAAAAGAAAAUCCAACUGUGUGUAUGAAAAGGAUAGAUUGGGCCUCAAGCUCAUUUUAGGCUGGUUUCCAUUAUGGUUUAGAAGCUCCCAGGACCACAUGCUUUCUCAUUUAUUUCUGGGAUCCAGGUUCUACCCUGCCAUAUCUCCAAGAGUCUGACCUACAUCAAUAGAUGCCUUUAUCCUCUGACACCAGUUAUGGAGCUCAAGGAUGAGUUCAGUGUGGGUAGGCUGCAUCUGUCUAGGUGGCAAAAUGAUACUCUACUUAUAUGAAUCUACUCAUUUAGUUUGCUAGUAUCUAAUUAGAGAAGAAAUGAACUGUUCUUUCUCUUACAUCAGAAGUGAACUGACCAGCUCAUGGAUCCUUCAACCAGCUCACCAGUGCAGUGGAUUGCCUCAAUACCCUAUGGAGAUAUCGGUGGAGAAAUAUGCAUCCAUCUGUUCAAUGCUACCUGCUUUCUGAACCCCCUCUGAACUCCUCCAGGAAGCAUUAGAAUUUCCCAUUGUAUUCUCUUAGUCCUUUGCUUAUUUAUGAAAGUACUUGCCCAAUAUUAGUGUAAGUAUUUAAUUUAGGGAUCUGACUCCUAGAGUUCAGCACCUUGUCUGUAUUUCCACAGUUUUAAUUCUCCUCCCACCUUGCUCCCAGUGCUAUCCCUGACAUGUAUUAGCUAUUUAAA